rnacentral:tRNA from 1 species
UGGCUCAGAUGGUAAAGAAUCUGCCUUCAAUGCAGGAGACCCAGGUUCAACCCCUGG